AUACUUACCUGGCGGGGGAGAUACCAUGAUCACGAAAGUGGUUUUCCCAGGGCGAGGAUUAUCCAUUGCACUCCGGAUGUGCUGACCCCUGCUAUUUCCCUAAAUGUGCGAAACUCGACUGCAUAAUUUAUGGAUUGUGGGGGAGUGUGUUUGCAUUUUCCCUGA